GAUGAACGCUGGCGGCGUGCCUAAUACAUGCAAGUCGAGCGAACAGACGAGGAGCUUGCUCCUCUGACGUUAGCGGCGGACGGGUGAGUAACACGUGGAUAACCUACCUAUAAGACUGGGAUAACUUCGGGAAACCGGAGCUAAUACCGGAUAAUAUAUUGAACCGCAUGGUUCAAUAGUGAAAGACGGUUUUGCUGUCACUUAUAGAUGGAUCCGCGCCGCAUUAGCUAGUUGGUAAGGAAACGGCUUACCAAGGCAACGAUGCGUAGCCGACCUGAGAGGGUGAUCGGCCACACUGGAACUGAGACACGGUCCAGCCUCCUACGGGAGGCAGAAGUAGGGAAUCUUCCGAAAUGGGCGAAAGCCUGACGGAGAAACGCCGCGUGAGGGAUGAAGGUCUUCGGAUCGUAAAACUCUGUUAUUAGGGAAGAACAAAUGUGUAAGUAACUAUGCACGUCUUGACGGUACCUAAUCAGAAAGCCACGGCUAACUACGUG
rnacentral:rRNA from 1 species